rnacentral:lncRNA from 1 species
CUUCAAAAGUGGGCAGAACUACAAAGUAGUAUUGAAAACUCAGGAUGGGGUGGAGGGGUAUUUCCCUUCCUCUGAAAUUCCUCCCCCAUAUAUGCAUACUGCUAAACCAUCCCUAGCAGGAAUUACUUUUAUCUCCAGCUCAUGAAGAAACUUCUGAAGAGCUUUCUGCUUUUGUCAUUGGAAAACACCACUUUGCGCAAAAUGGAAUAGAGGGCACCUACAUCUAAGUUGAAGUGGUUGAAAGAAAGUGAUCACCCUGUUGAAGAUCAUCAAGCUACCGAAGAUGUACGCAAAACUGCUAAAUUGCAUAUCCUGCAUAUCAGAAUAUCUGCAAAAGUAUUAAAGACAUAUAAAAACCUUAUCAGGCUUGAAAUAAAUCAAAGAUGCAUCAUAUCAGAAUGAGUGGAAAGCUUUGUGCAUCUCCAGAUGAUUUUGUAAAAUAUUUUAACAUUUCAAGAUCUUGAAGGAGCUGACUGAUGUGGUUGCCAAGCCACUC